rnacentral:tRNA from 1 species
UUCCUUAUAGUCUAGUUGGUCAAGACACUCGGCUCUCACCUGAAAGACUUGAGUUCAAAUCGAUAAUGGAA